AUUUGCGUCAAUCCAGGUGUAUAUAUACAUCUUUAGUUUUUAAUUUGUUUUAAUCUGAAUAUCUUCUAACAGGAAUAAAUUCAAAGUAAGUUAUUUAGAGUGCAUUUUCUAACCAAAGUUUGUUAAACGUUGUGUGACGUUUGUAAUUAUAGUUUGUUGAACAAUACAAAAGUAGAAACACGAUCAUCGUUUAAUCGGUGUACUGGCCCUGUUUGAACUGUAAAAAACGCAUGCACAUGUUGUUGGUAUUUAAACGUAUUAUACGGGGGAAAUAGCCUUUGAAGAAGAAUUUAUACACACAGAGGACAUUGCUCCUCUAUCAUGCAUAUUUAAUUUUAUUGGUAGUUCUUCAUCUUCAUCAGAUGAAUGUAUAAAGACAGUAAUUAUAAAGCCUUUUUAUUGAAAUUAACUUCAAAGAAAAAAAAGGAGGGUAAUACCUAAAUUUUAGUAAUUAUAUGUUUUGGGUUAUGACAAGCAGGAACAUCCCUCUCUUUUUAGUGCGAAAAAUACGUAGAUAGAUAAUUGAUUGAAGGAUGUACUUAGGUGAGAUUCUGAAAUUUUUGUUACAUGUUCGAACUCUUUGGUGUUUUUCGAUAUGAUACUUAGAGUGCAUUUCCUUCUACCCAAAAUUUGUAAACUUUGUGUGGCGUCUGUUGUUGUUUUCUAUAACGCUACAAAAGUAGAAACAAAUACAUCGACUUCGUUUAAUCAGUGUUUACUGACCCUGUUUGAACUUUCAAUAAUGCAUGCACUUGUUGUUGGUAAACAGACUUUUUUCAAACGUAGAAACAAAUACAUCGUUUAAUCAGGGUGAAGUUAGAAAAAAAUGUAGCGUUUGUUCUAACAAACGAUGAACGACAAACUGUAGACGCAUUUUUAGCGAAUGUAUAGUUUGUCAAAGUUUAUUUAAACUUUACAAACGUAUGUUAGAAACAAAUGAUCAAAUCAUGUGCGCACGUAGCCGUUUGCAUCGUUUGUGGUUAAAAAUGCACCUAAGGUUAAAUAUAUUGCCCCAUAACACCCAUUUAUCUUUUCAUAUAAGUUUUAAAAGCUCAUAAAAGGCCAUUUACCAAAAUUUAAGAAGAUUCUUGAUUUUUUUUCGUUUGAUUUGAGACCCAAAUAAUACUAAUGCAAAUACAUGUAUAAGGUAAAGUCCGAAUCAUUUCUUUCUAACAUACGUUUGCAAAGUUUUCAUAAACUUUGACAGUCAUUGCAUUCGCUAGAAAUACGUAGAUACAGUUUGUCGUUCGUCGUUAGUUAGUACAAACUCUACAUUUAUUUUGUUUCUAACUUCAACCUGAUUAAACGCUGUAUUUAUUUCUACGUUUGUAAAAAGUCUGUUUACCAACAACAUGUGCAUGCAUUAUUGAAAUUCAAACCGGGUCAAUAAACAAUGAUAAAACGAUGUAGCUGUUUCUACUUUUGUGGCGUUUAGAAAAUAACAACAAACGCCACACAACGUUUACAAAAUUUUGGUUAGAAAGAAAUGCAGCCUAAAAUUAAAACUAAAAUUGACAUUGUGCAAUAUGCCAGAUAACUAACUACGAGACGCUUACAUGUUUAUUUCACAUGCGUAGUGUUAACGAACAUUCAAACAACACAAUUCGUGUGCAUUUCCAAAGUCUCCGAGAGUACCAAGUGAUUAUCACUAUUAGUUUAUUGAUAGUCUCCGAGUGUACCAAGUGAUUAUCACUGCUAGUGUACUGAUAGUCUCCGAGUGUACCAAGUGAUUAUCACUGCUAGUGUAUCGAGAGUCUCCGAGUGUACCAAGUGAUUAUCACUGCUAGUUUAUUGAUAGUCUCCGAGUGUACCAAGUGAUUAUCACUGCUAGUUUAUUGAUAGUCUCCGAGUGUACCCAGUGAUUAUCACUGCUAGUUUACAGAUAGUCUCCGUCAAGUGAUUAUCGAGUUUACAGUAGUUCUCGAGUGUAACAAGUGAUUAUCACUGCUAGUUUACAGAUAGUCUCCGAGUGUACCAAGUGAUUAUCACUGCUAGUGUACUGAUAGUCUCCGAGUGUACCAAGUGAUUAUCACUGCUAGUUUACAGAUAGUCUCCGAGUGUACCAAGUGAUUAUCACUGCUAGUUUACAGAUAGUCUCCGAGUGUACCAAGUGCUUCGGCACUGACAUGAUUUAUAACACACUGUACAGUUGACCUCGACAGUUUGAAUGUAUAGUUCCUUCUGGUCAUAUAGCUUCUAACUUUUUAUCCCUGGUUAAAAUGUUUGAGUUUGGACGUUCCAAAUGAGGGAAAACUUCUAGAGAAGUGACUAUGAGUAUGAAUUGAAAUUAUUAGCCUGGUCCACUCCCUGACAACAUACUGGUAUCAGAGCAAACAGAUAAAGGACAGGGAACUAGUCAAGAAAUGUUCAUUGAAGAAUUUUCCGAAAAUCUGGAAUAAUCUGCUAAAAGGAUUUCAAGUAAACAAAAUUUAAAAUACUAAGAAGCGAAAAUGAAAAUAUGUUCUAAUAUUAGACGUUUGUAGACGUUUUUUUUUUUUUUUAAACUGAAAUCGUUUCUACUAAUUAAUUAUGAAUACAAAUAGAAGAGUACGUGUUUGCACGUAUGAAAUGUUUUUUUUUUAAAUAUUACAUGAAAAAAAGCAGAGUUUAUUUUUAAAAAUACCUAACCCGAAGGUAAAUUCAACUCGACACAAUCAAACGCUCGACUCGUUCAAACAAAGGAACGGUUUAAAAACAACAGUAAAUAAUAUUCCUGACUUUUCUCAGGCAUGCAUGAUGGUUGAUUUUCAUACACGAAACUGUUUCAUGUUUUUAGUGUCAAGGUAACUUGCAUACUGCCAUCUGAAACUGCAAUAAACAAUAACAGUAAUUUAAGAUAGCUUCAUGCAUGCAUGUUCAUAGCGAUUAAAGCAACAGAUAUAUAUGCUCAAUUAACAAACUGUCAAAUAAAAAAGAAGAUGUGGUAUGAUUGCCAAUGAUGAGACAACUGUCCACAAGAGACCAAAAUGACACAGACAUUAACAACUAUAGGUCACCGUACGGCCUUCAACAAUGAGCAAAGCCCAUAACACGUAGUCAGCUAUAAAAGGCCCCAAUUAGACAAUGUAAACCAAUUCAAACGAGAAAACUAACGGCCUUAUUUAUGUAAAAAAUUAACGAAAACAAAUAUGUAACACAUAAACGAACAACCAUUGAUUACAGGCUCCUGAUUUGGGAAAGCACCUACAUAAAUAAUGUGGCGGGGUGUUUAACAUGUUAGCGGGAUCCAAACCCCCCUACCUGGGACAGUGGAUAAUAGUACAACAUAAGAAGAACAAUAAAUCAGUUGAAAAGGCUUACUUAUGAUGGACGAAAAUACAAGUGGACGUGGCCGGGUACUUUUACAUCCCGACACAAGAAACAAGUUCGGUGACACCAUGUUUUCUUUUUAUUUUCUUAAAAUAUAUUAUGAAACCUUUCUUCUCACAAUUUAUUUCAAAAUUCUAUCUCAUAGAAAUUUUUUAUGCACACUAAUGUGUUUUUUCAUGAACAAACUAACAAAAUAUUGGCAGUUUUUAACGACUCAUAGCUUGAAAAAUAGCACGGUGACCCAUACUUUUUAUUAAAUAUAUGCAUAGUAAAAUCUUCAUUUUGGAAAAUUAUAAAAAAAAUCUGUCUCAAAAAAUAUAUACUUGUGAUCUACCUUAACAAAUUUAUGACGUGCGAAACUUAAUUAUAACAUAUUAAAACAAACAACGAUUUUCUGAAAGUCAAGAUUAAAGAUCAAUGUUAAACUGUCGAAACCGAAAGGAAGAAUAUUGACCUUCGGUCAUUCAACCUAUAUUUAUUUCUUGUUCAAGUGGAUUUUCGGCUUGAGUUUAAAAAGGAAACUUCAAACAUAUAAUUGCAAAAUUUAUGUAAAGCACUUUCACAGGUCAGCAAGUGAACAGACAAAGAUUACAAAGUUGCGUAAGUUUAAACAUAUGUAUUUAUAGUGGAUUGGGAAACAAGUUUUGCAACUUAUAUUAAUACCUUUCCACUUUCCGGGUGCGAGUGCUGCCUUGUAGCGGCAUUAACCUGUUCUUUAUCGAAAUCGACAAGGGUGUCUUUUACGAUCUUUUACGUGCAAGAGAUAUGGCUCUAUCUAAACACCGGUCAGCCAUUUAUCGUCCCCUUCGGACGAAGUAUCUACGUUUCCUCAAGACCAUACUCAAGACAAAAUUGUGUUGAUUUUAAUCCUUAAUUAAUCCAACAGAAGUAACACCAUUUUCUUUGUAUAUAUGCAACGAAUCGGGUAAGCAAUAUCUAAAUUGUCAAAGCUAUUUGGGUUUGUAUACAUCGAAAUCGCAUUGUCGACGCAUACGACUAAAAAUCUUUAUUUAAGUUUCUAUUUUAUAAUGCAAAAAAGAAAUACUUUGCUACUGGACGAUCACCACUUUACCGUUCUUAUUUCUAAUACAUGUAACCACUUAGACUUUUCAUAACCUAGUUAUUGACAAAACCUUAGCGACUCUUUACCGUUACUGAUGACUUUUCGUUUCAUUUUUUUCAAAUUCUUUUAUUGAUGGCUUAACCAUUUUCGGAUUUCCUCCAAAUAAUAUGUGAAAUUUUUCAAAGGUAUCAUUACAGCGGGAUCCAUUAUUUGCCUCAUAUAUAAAAUUAACCCCUUAUGUAAGAUACUAGUAUUCUAACGACUUUCGAUGAAGCACUUUUUUAAGAUUUUAAUUAGGUAGGUAACAGCAGAAUGUUGAAUUCACCAAUAUAUUUAUUUUGGGUUAAAUAAUUUUGUUUCACUGAUAUUAAAAACUCAAUAUUACCAAUUUAAUUCAUAUUCAAUUUAUUUUUUUCCUGGUUCUUUUUUUUUCCAGGUGUUUUGGGCGAAUAAUUAGACGUUGAAACAAUUGAGAAAUAAAUGAGAUAUGUACAAAACAAAUGUAAUUUAAAACUAUCAAUUAAAAUGUUUAUACCAAAUCCUUUUAUUGUAAAAGACAUUGUUAUUUUAGUAUUUCGAGAGACAUAGGUUCAAUGUCCCCUUUUCGUAAAAAAACAAAUAUAAUGUAAACAUAGUCUUCGUUCGAUGUUCAAAGACAAAAAUUGUUCUAAAUAUAAAUGAAGUUAAUACAAAACCAAGUUUUUGCUUUCUUAAAAGCUGUGGACUGCUUCGCUCUAUCCUAAUUUAAUGUAAUAUGUGUGCAUGUGGUAUUUUUAGAUAGUUGAUUGAUAUAAAAUGGAUUUACUUUAAGAGUGUGAGUUAUGAGUGUGCCUCUCUGAGGGUGUUCCUAGAUGAGGAGAAGUUAUAAAAUACAGAUAAUGCUUUUUUGAAAACGUUGUAUACUAGGAACAUUGUUCAGCAAAACAAAUCGUGCAUAUUGCAGAUUGACAAAGCAAUUAAACGUGUAUUGAUAAUUGAUAUUUCAAUAUUAAAUUUCAGUGUGCAAUACAUGAACAACAAAACCGACAUGAAUUAAUGACAGUUGAUCGGCACAGAUAUAUACACAUAGUUAAUUUUCCAGCUUUUAAUGCCUUAUCCUGAACGAGAAAAGUCUGUAAUGCUUUAUCUCAUUUAAACCAAUGGCUGUUGCUGAUUCUCAGCCGCAUCAUACAGUAACAAAUCAGUGAUUAGUAAUUAUUUCAAGAGGGUGUAUGUCUACUGAAACUAAUAGCUCCCCACCGUGAUGCGAAGCAAUAAGGUUUCAACUUACUCAGUAAAAUUCUUUUAAUGAUAUCCUUUUAUUUUGGGCGCAGGACAUUUUAGAGAAAAUUUAAACUUCUAGGGAAAAAUUUAGCGCCGACAUUAGAGUUCAUUUUAAAUAGCGCCGUAUAAACCCGUUCUUGCGUUCACCUGUAUUUUCGAUAGCCCAUUUUAGCGAAAACUUACCUGAUAAUACUCACUUUACUAUAACCAUGAACAGCAAUUUAAAGGGGGUCUCAUUGUCAUUUCCCGGGUCCCGCAAGACCUCAUUUCCCGUUUUCACGCAACAAUAUUUUGACUUUCACGUGUCACGCUUACAAAAAAACGGCAAUCCCGCGUCACGCUUAGACCCCGAUGAGACCGACUUUAAAGAGAGUGAUGAAUAAGAUGAAGUCAAAUGGCUGAAAAGUUUAUUCGGCAUGGCAUUUCUAGAUGAUCAAGUUUUGUAGAAGAGUUCAUGUCCGCUGCGCCAGUAGAUCUAUAGGAGAUGUUUCGAAUUCUCAGAUUAUUUUACCGAAUACUAUGUAGUGGAAGAUUCUAUGUUCUCACCUAAGCUUUGAGCAGACGUUCCAUGUAAUUCAAAGCAAAUACAUAAAUGUCCAGAGUUGUUCCAUGCCCAUUAUGAUGUGCAAUUUUAUAGUUGUCAUCCAGCUAUUUACGUUUUUCUUGUUACUAUUAUCAAAUUGCAAACAGCAACAUAAUAUAAAAAUACGAAGUAUGUAUAGACGAAUGUGCACCACAAUCUGACCUAUAAUGGUUUACUUUUAUAAAUUGUUAUUUGGAUGGAGAGUUAUCUCAUUGGCUCAUAUCACAUAUUCCUAUAUCUAAGAUGAAGAGAAAGAACAGUUCCUAAUGCAAUUCUUUAAAUUUAGAUAAUUGUACAGAGAGUAUAUCCAGAGCCCAUUACGUAUGUUCUCUAGGAUAUAACGUCCAGGCUAGUACUGACUUUUAACAUUUGAUUCAACCUUUUAGACUCUUAGUGCUGUAUUUUAAUGGACAUCAUAUGUUUUAUAUUGUGCUGUCUUGGCUCUAUUAAAGUUAUUUUUAAUUUCUUUUAUAUCUUUCAUUAUAAUGUAUUAAAAAUAUUUCGCUAAAAUGGGCAUUGACAAUCUUUAUUUUCGCUAAAAUGUCCUAUCAAUGCGCUAAAUUGUCCUCCACCAAUUAUUUUAUGUUGUUUGAUUUUUGGUCAUGUACCUCGUAUUUCCUCAUGUAGUCAGAACAGGUAUUUCUACAUUCUUGGUUUUCAAAUGUUAAGUUAGGAUUUAUGAUUCUUGAUGAAGGCAAAUCUAGAAACGCUCAAGAUUCGAAUGUACGAUAUUUAUCAAGCGUUAUCUUUCUCAUUUAUACGUUAUAUAUUUAUGUAAAAACACUGCCUGUCUCACAAAACACGUGAUUCUUGACAUCAAAUAUUAAACAGUUAAACUGUUUUAAAAAUACAUCAUUAAAUAAAAAUAUAUUCGUUUACGGAAGUACUCUAGACCUUAACAUGCUUAACCAACCAAAUCAAAACACAGAUCUGACGCUGAUUUAACAAUACUAAAACAAUCAAUUAUUCUAUACAUAUAUAAACCAUUACUUCCAUGUUUUCAAGAGUAAUAAAAAUCAUCAAUUUCCUUUUCCCUUCUAAUGGUAUUUCAUUGAAUGGAUUUUGAAUUCCAUGAAAACAUGCGGUACCAAAAAAAAAAAAAAAAAAAACCCCAACAAAAGCUACUUCUCAUUAGUUUUGUUGAAACCUAUUUAUAUGAAUGUAUUUAUUGGUUUUGGCACACAGGAAUAGUGUCACAAUCUCUUAAAUUCGACUUGUUAUAUCAAAUGUAACCCAAUUUAUACGUUUACAACUUUGGAAAUUAACGAUGGUAAUGUAAUAAAUAAUAAAUAAUUAAUCAGAUUACCUCUUUUAAUUGUGAUAACAUGUAAUCCGUGAACUUGCUGACUUUAAAAAUAAAUGAACAAACGUAUUUGUGUCGAAGAUUUGUUUAUUACGAUACGCCUUUUUAACACUUAGGAACAUUCCAAAUAUUUAUGCGUCAUCAAUAUUGAUGAAUGGCGUGACGUUAUCAAAUGUUUAUAUAUAGUCCACACAUUGUUGAAAGUCCAUUCAUGACGUCAAACCAACCAGCAUGUAAUAUAGUAUAUAUAUAUUUUCGUCAAUCCCUUUUUGUCGUCAUUUUAUGAAUGAAGUAAUACAUGGGAAAUCCUUACAGGUAUUUACUAUAAUUACUAUAUACUAUAGUGUGUGAUAACAUUGUGUGAGGGAAUUCGACGUUUGCUGUACCACUGUUCACUCCAGUGCAAUUUAUGACAAUACCACUGCAUCAAUCAGAAUUAUUUUGUUUGCAGUGUUUUAAGAAAUGAUUUUGCUUUGUUGUCGAGUAUUAGUUGAGAAACAUUCAAUGUUUUAAAAAGGCGAAUUUUCUGUAUAAAGUCAAUGAUUAUGUUGACUUUGAAGGCCAAACUUUCUACAGCCUUAAAUACGCUAAUGCAAGAUCCAAACUAUACCAUACAUAAUGACAUGUUUUAUGAAAUAUAACAAAUCUAUUGGUCCCAAAUUUUAUUCGUAUUGCAAAAUAAUGAACUUAAAAUAUCUGACAUUUUCUCCCUACCCAGUUUACCCCUAUACAUUUUUAUGAUGUGGACCGGUCAUUGUUGUUAAAUCGUAGGCAGUUUGAUUGGAUUAAAUUGUUAUUAGUUUACCUUCAAACUUGUUUAUGCUUUUCAUACAUGACUAUUGAUUAAUUAAAACGUGCAUGAAUGUGUACGUAACUAAAAUGACCUUCGACUGGACACUGGACGAGUCAAUAUUAUGUUUUAUCAAUGAAAGUUAAGGUAUGAAAGGUAAGAAUUGCCAAUUAUUCUAUUUUCACAAAUUUUUCGGAAUAUAUAGUUGAAAGGUUAUUUUUUAAAAGCCUAUUGUGAAGAUUAAAGAGAAAGUUUACAAAUAAUACGUUUUGUUCCAUUGAACAAGUCAUUUUCGUAAGAGAAAUGUCGAAAUAUAUUUUACGCACGAAUACGGCAGGUAUAAUUAUUAUUUAUCAUAAUCAAAAAAAACAUUUUUCAGUCUCAUUGGAAUAUGUUCAUUACAAUUAAUCCCAAACGUAAGAAGUAAGUUAAUAGAGUCAAAAUAUAUCCGAUCUGCCUAUUUCUGCACAUCAAAAGUCAAUACGAUCGUUUUAAAGUCAAUUUCGUCUACCUCACACAAUCUUGUUAGGCACUAUAGUAUUAUUGAAUCAGCUUUUUAAGUCGAUAACUUAUAGUGUCACUAUAAUAGAAAUUAGUAAAUAAAUAGCAAAAUGUAUCUAACUUGUAACACAUCAUUGCACAUAGUGGAAUAGAAUGAUGACAUACUUGUUGUAUAAUUGAGGUCACAAUGGUUCACAGUGUUAAAAUAGAAAAUCGAAAAAAUGUUUUACUACGACCUGUAAGGUUUUUUUAUUAUAUGCGUCAGUUUUGUAUAGAUACGUUAUAUAUAAUUGAAAUUAAAUCAAACCACGUCAACAAAUUUUUGAAUCCGUAUUUUGUUUUUAAUUAUUUAGAUGAUGAUUUAGAUGAUUAUGCAUUUUAUUUCAGACAAUUCAGAUAAACAUGUAUAUACAAGAUAACCUUUCAGCAAUACGAGAACCAGAAAGACAGACAAUGCAUCAACGCUUCUAUUCGGUUGAUAAAAUGUCUUAUUCAAUUCCAAAACGAAGAACACAGAGAUUAAACAGUUAUCCGUCCAGCGAAACAGAAGUAAAUAACACCAACAGUAGAAAACUUAGCGUUGACCUGUCUGAAAUAAAAUCUU
rnacentral:lncRNA from 1 species